CUCAGGCCUGCAGCCAGGAAGGAGAAGCCCACGGCGAUUUUCCCCUGGGCGUCACGCCAGGCUUCUUCCCCCUCUUCCAUCCCUCGGCCGCGACGAUCGAUCCCCGCAGACAGCCUCGCGGCAGCACCAGCACUUCGCGGAGAAACCGCGGCCCCUGGGAGCCUCCUGCUGCCCGCCGUGCCGCCGCUUCAGCAGACGUUCCCGGAGAGGGACUCGACCCUCCCCUUAGGGCCGGGCAGGCCCCGGCCGCAGCCCCCAACCCACACAGCCCGAGACCCCGCAGCCCCCGGCCUCGCCCCGGCCGCCCCGAGCCCCCCCGGACUUUGCGACCGGCCGCAGGCCCCGGCCGCCCCGUUCCCGCCACCCCCCGCCUCACGGCCGCCUUCCUCCCCCUGCUCCCCCUCCUCCUCCUCCUCCUCACCGGCAGGACGCGGCCGUGCUCGGAGCCCGCAGCUCAGCCGGGCCGCGGCGAGCCCUGCGGCUCACGCGGAGGGCAGAACGGAGCUCAGCCCAGCCCAGCCCAGGAGGACAGCGCGGGGGCCGCUCCCCUGCCACCCAGGAGCCCCGGCGGAGGACGGGCGCAGGCAGCCCGCGGCGGCGCCUCCCUCUCUCCCCUCACCGGCCGCGGCUGCGGCACCCCCGGCCGCGCCCCGCACAAAGAUGGCCGCGCGGGGCCUCCGCGCCGCUCACGUGAGCGCCGCCCCACACCAAGAUGGCGGCCGCAGACUCUCGCCCCGCCUUGCCCGGCCGCCUGCCGCGGGGACUGCCCCGCGGGAGGAUGGCGGCAGCGGGCCGGUGACGGAGCGGCUCGCCUCACCGCGCCUCACCUCGUCAGGCGGCCGCUGCCUCCUGGCACCCCACAGCGGUUCCUCGCUGGCCCGGAAGCGGAUCCCCGCCCGCCUCCUAGCGGCAGCCGGGGCGGGGACGGAGCCGCCCGUGCGGGGCCGUGCCUGCUGCCGGCGGUGCCCGCCCCGGUGCCCGGCAGGUAACGGUGGGUGGCGGGGGCAGCUAACGGGGGGCGGCGGGCGGGCGGCGAGGCGUGGGGUCCGGCCCCUGGGCGAGCCGAGCCGAGGCUGCCUCAGCCGCAGGGGUGCGGGAGCUCGGGCAGCCCUGGCCCUCGGUCCCCGACCCGGGGCAGAGCUCGGCACCGGGCUCCGGGAGGGGGCUGCGGCGGGGCGGGGUCCGCAGCCCCUGCGAGGCCGGGCCCCGGCUGAAGGUUUAACCUCCGAGUUGUUUUGUGCGUGA
rnacentral:lncRNA from 1 species